AGUGAACGCUGGCGGUAGGCCUAACACAUGCAAGUCGAACGGCAGCACAGUAAGAGCUUGCUCUUACGGGUGGCGAGUGGCGGACGGGUGAGGAAUACAUCGGAAUCUACUUUUUCGUGGGGGAUAACGUAGGGAAACUUACGCUAAUACCGCAUACGACCUACGGGUGAAAGCAGGGGAUCUUCGGACCUUGCGCGAUUGAAUGAGCCGAUGUCGGAUUAGCUAGUUGGCGGGGUAAAGGCCCACCAAGGCGACGAUCCGUAGCUGGUCUGAGAGGAUGAUCAGCCAAACUGGAACUGAGACACGGUCCAGACUCCUACGGGAGGCAGCAGUGGGGAAUAUUGGAAAAUGGGCGCAAGCCUGAUCCAGCCAUACCGCGUGGGUGAAGAAGGCCUUCGGGUUGUAAAGCCCUUUUGUUGGGAAAGAAAAGCAGCAGGUUAAUACCCAGCUGUUCUGACGGUACACAAAGAAUAAGCACCGGCUAACUUCGUG
rnacentral:rRNA from 1 species